rnacentral:rRNA from 1 species
GUAGGGAAUAUUAGUAAUGGGCGAAAGCCUGAACUAGCAACGCCGCGUGUGCGAAGAAGGCCUUCGGGUUGUAAAGCACUUUUUGAGAGGAUGAGGAAGGACGGUACUCUCAGAAUAAGUCUCGGCUAACUACGUGCCAGCAGCCGCGGUAACACGUAGGAGGCGAACGUUAUCCGGAUUUACUGGGCGUAAAGCGCGUGUAGGUGGUUUGGUAAGUAGGGCGUGAAAGCUCCUGGCUCAACUGGGAGAGGCCGUUCUAAACUGCCGAACUAGAGGAUGGUAGAGGGAGGUGGAAUUCCGGGUGUAGCGGUGGAAUGCGCAGAUAUCCGGAGGAACACCAGUGGCGAAAGCGGCCUCCUGGACCACUCCUGACACUCAGACGCGAAAGCUAGGGUAGCAAACGGGAUUAGAAACCCGGGUAGUCC